ACGGGAGGCAGCAGUGGGGAAUAUUGGACAAUGGGGGAAACCCUGAUCCAGCGACGCCGCGUGAGUGAAGAAGUAUUUCGGUAUGUAAAGCUCUAUCAGCAGGGAAGAUAAUGACGGUACCUGACUAAGAAGCCCCGGCUAACUACGUGCCAGCAGCCGCGGUAAUACGUAGGGGGCAAGCGUUAUCCGGAUUUACUGGGUGUAAAGGGCGCGUAGGCGGGAAGGCAAGUCAGAUGUGAAAUCCAUGAGCUCAACUCAUGAACUGCAUUUGAAACUGUCUUUCUUGAGUGUCGGAGAGGUAAAUGGAGUUCCUAGUGUAGCGGUGAAAUGCGUAGAUAUUAGGAAGAACACCAGUGGCGAAGGCGAUCUACUGGACGAUAACUGACGCUGAGGCGCGAAAGCGUGGGGAGCAAACAGGAUUAGAUACCCUGGUA
rnacentral:rRNA from 1 species